rnacentral:rRNA from 1 species
CAUAGCGACUAUCGUGGCAUAUCAAUAAGCGGAGGAAAAGAAACUAACAAGGAUUCCCCUAGUAACGGCGAGUGAAGCGGGAAGAGCUCAAAUUUGAAAUCUUCAAGGGUUUACCUUUACGAAUUGUAGUUUAAAGAAGUGUUUUCUGUUAGGAGUUAGGUAAAAGUUCUUUGGAAUAGGACAUCAUAGAGGGUGAGAAUCCCGUAUUUGACCGUAUUCUUUCUAGCUUUGUGAUACACUUUCAAAGAGUCGGAUUGUUUGGGAAUGCAGUCCAAAAUGGGUGGUAAAUUUCAUCUAAAGCUAAAUAUUGGCGAGAGACCGAUAGCGAACAAGUACCGUGAGGGAAAGAUGAAAAGAACUUUGAAAAGAGAGUUAAACAGUACGUGAAAUUGUCAAAAGGGAAGCGUUUGACACCAGUGUUGUUUUUCCGAAAAUCAAUUAAAAAUUGAUUCAUGCCAGGUUGUAUUGACCUUAUCAGCUUGCAAUUUGGUUUUGGGUCUCUUUUUGAUGCACUUUUCGGUUAACAAGUCAACAUCAAUUUCCUUUGCUGUAAAAAGGUAAGAGGAAGGUGGCUUCAAUUUCGGUUGAAGUGUUUAUAGCCUUUUAUCUCUGCAGUCGGGGAGAUUGAGGUCUGCAGCGUAGAUCCUUCGGGGCUAGAUACAUUUAUGCUAAGUUAUAGUCUUUUCAUAGACAACUUGUUGACUAUAAUUUAAGUCAUGUAACUUACUCGUAGUGCUAUUUUACCUACGCUUAGGAUGUUGAUAGUCACAGCGUGUAC